rnacentral:lncRNA from 12 species
CUCCCCCAGGCUCUAGAAUCUGUAAGUGGACACUGUAGUCACAAGGGGGUGGGGUUGCUUUUGUUUAUCUUCUUUUCUUUUUUUUUUUUCUUGAAGAUGAAUGGGUUUAUUUCCUCACCCCACUGGGAAGUCUGGACAAUGGGUAUUGGGCCUGCCGGCGGGGGUGGGGGGAGAGGGGAGGUUGCAGAGAUGCAGGAUUGCCCAUUGCUAGGCUUAACCUGGCCUGGAAAAGCUCAGCUCCCGGCCCUUGGACUCCGGGCCCCGCCUCGGCCCGCGACCACUUGGUUCUCCGGGCUUUUUCCUAGGCUCUCCUGGGGCCGCCCAUCCCCGGACCCACGUGGGCUCCCCGGGAAACCCCGUGGCCCCUUGAGCGCCCACGGGUUACCGGUCCCUGAAGCGCGGCGGGAAGCGGGCCGCCCACAACUCCAGUGUCGGCUGCAACCUGCGGCUUCUCGGUACGCGGAGCCCCGGGCGCCCCCGCCGGCGUCGCGGGCCGCUCCCUCGGCAGCCGCUGGCUGGGCGCUGCGGGCAAACCCGGCCGGAGACGCGGGAGACGCCGGGGACGCCGCGGGCCAGGGGCGGGCGCGACACUUACAAACGAGGAUUCCGGUCGUCCCGUGCAGCUCCGCUCUGCAAACAGCGUCCGGGGAGCGCUUCGCCCGGAGUCUAGCUCCGUUUAUUUGGCUCAUUCCCCAGGAGGGCGAAGGCCACCGCAUCCCCCGGCUGAGCCCCGGGCCCGCCGAAAAGUUAAACCCAGGAGUGGGGCGGAGGGCCCUUUGUCCCCCAGCCAGACGUCCCGCCAGGCUUAUCAGCAGACGGCUUCUGGCCCAGCUUGCAAACCCUUCCAGCCCCUUCCUGACCCUCCCGGGGUAAAGGUCUGCCGGGAGGGUCAUUUUGCUAAACUGCGUGGCGCGGAAAUGCAGCUGCUAAGAGGAUUAGCUGCUGGGAGGCGAGCAAUCAGCCGGGACCUCCUCCUCUUCCGCGCCCAAUUAAGGCCGCCGGGAGCCUCUCCCCAGCUUCCCAUUCCCCGCACCCUCCCUGCGCCCGAGUCCUUCCCCCGCCGC